rnacentral:lncRNA from 1 species
GCAGACCCAGCUGUGGCCCGGAUGGCCUCGUGCUACCGGUGGGAACGAGAGGAUCAUCUCAAUGAAGGUACUGUAAAUAAUAAAUGGUUCAGUGUAAGAAGGGACUAAAAUUUCAUCAACCGGGAAUAUCACCAAGGAAGAUGCAUUUGUACACCAGACUGCCAUAAAGAAUAAAAAUGCAAGAAGUACCUUCACAGUAAAGAAGAUAGGGAGACUGUGAGAUUUAAUGUUGUCUAAGCAAAAAGGGAACGAAGACAGCUUCUGCACCAAGCCCUGUUGAAAUUCAAUUCAAGGCAGUAAAUAUGCAACAAAUGUUUAAUCAUUAAUGAAGAUGGUAUCCACUUCUAAUGGGGUCCUCUGUGAAGUUACCGACAGAAUGACUAGACUAGAAGAAAUGAUGGAAGAUACAAUCAGGAUGCAGGGAAACAAGGUUGACCCGUGA